UUUGUGAGUUCCUUGUUGUUGUUUGACUGUGUUUACGGGGAAGAGAGUUCAGCUCUGGAUCAGCAGCCUUGAAAUAAAGAUCAGAGCGCAGCUGCAUUCCCUUCUGAUUGGUGGUUGUCUGCUGAAGCGUUACCAUGUGUCCGUGUUGUGAUGAUACAUCAAAGCUGUAUGCUGUUCUUUCAAAGCCAUGAUGCUUGUGCCGAGGGUUUGUUUCCGCUCCUUGAUGAGUUGCAUUGCACCAACAUGUCUCUAAAAAAACAAAGUGCAGGAAGUGGGCUGUGUCACCCUGCCAUCCGCCUCCAGACCACACAGCGUCAGAGGGGAGCAGCUGAAGAAUCUGGAGUUCAGCCCAAUGUCACACCUGUUGAACACCCUGAGGGAAGAAGGGGACAAGUGAUGUGUGUUUCCUCUACCUCCAUUAAAACACAUUGUGCCUGAGACUACAUGUGUGUGCUUCUGAUAGUGUGUUAACUAUUUUUACCAAAUAUAUUGCAUAGUUUAUUGUGCUUCAAAUCAAAGCAACAU